rnacentral:lncRNA from 1 species
GUUUAAGUUAUAUUCUUAGACGCUUAUAUAAUUUUAAUUCAGUAACUGUAUCCACGCUAAUUGUGGAAAGAAAUGUAAUUCAGGCAGAAAACAACAAGGAAAAGAGAUUGCUUUGAUAAGGUUUGUUCAGAGCCUUAGACACAUAUUUAAUAAGAACAGAGUUGUACCUUUUAGUGAGCCCGGGUCAUGUUCUGUAUCAAGUGUUAUAAGUAACACAACAGUAAUAACACGAGAUAAUAAGAAUAAGUGCAGACGUCUCUGUAAGGAAGAAAAAAAGUGUCAAACGGCAUUGAACAAGCCUCUGUAUAGAUCUAAAUCCAACACCGCUUCCUGAUAAUGUUGAGUUUAACAACGAUGAUUUACCUUCCAUCAGAGAUAAACCGAAUAGUGUUCACGACAUUCGAGGAAACGCCAGAGAUAAACCGAAUAGUGUUCACGACAUUCGAGGAAAAGAAGGAGAAACAAAAGAGACCAACGCAAAGCAGACAUUCAGCGGUAUAAUUACAUGUUAUGCAAAAUUUGACUGUUGUCUGGUACAAAUGAAACACCAAACAGAAAACGGAGACCUAAUACAGCGAAGGGUGUGAAACCAAGUAUGACUAUAACGUUGGCAACUAACUCAAACAUGGAUGUAAGGUUACCAGGAAAAGUUAUCCCAUCCUCAAACACAUCAACUGUAUCAAGACCACAGAUGACAGCCC